rnacentral:rRNA from 1 species
AGCUCCAAUAGCGUAUAUUAAAGUUGCUGCAGUUAAAAAGCCCGUAGUUGCAUUUCCGAGGCAAGGGAUUAGUCCGACCUUUGGUGGGUAUUUAAUCCUCUUGCCUCGUCCUUGAGUGGUGCUUCUUGGUAUUAAGUUAUCGAGGAGAUAGCCGCCCAUCGUUUACUGUGAGAAAAUUAGAGUGUUCAAAGCAGGCUUAUGCCGUUGAAUAUAUUAGCAUGGAAUAAUAAGAUAGGACCUCGGUACUAUUUUGUUGGUUUGAGAACCAAGGUAAUGAUGAAUAGGGACAGUUGGGGGUAUUCGUAUUCAGUUGUCAGAGGUGAAAUUCUUAGAUUUACGGAAGACGAACUACUGCGAAAGCAUUUACCAAGGAUGUUUUCA